UAAUGGCUAAUAGCCUUAUUACAUCAGGAAAGCAGUAAAAUCCUAACUACUUGGUCCCAUAAAGACCUUGCCCAGAUUUGGUAUCUUUGCCUCCCUCGUACAAUUUCAUCAGCUCGCGCAGUCCCAGCAACAAGUAAGCCCGAGCCAAGUGGCCACCUUUAUUAUCUUCAGCUUCCUGACAGUCGUUGAUCCUUUUCAAAAACUUGCCUUCCAGCUCAUUAGACCCGCUCCAAGUACCCUAAACGGUUGUUUACGCGGACAGCCAUGUCCUUCCAUUCAUUGAUUCCCUUCUAUUGAGCCUCUAGCAUUUCCCGAUGUUCACUUUCACACUCUCGCAUCCGCUUGCGCAACUGAUUAUACUUGACC
rnacentral:lncRNA from 1 species